GCCCCUGUAGUUCAACGGAUAGAACAGGAGUUUUCUAAUCUCCCGAUGCGGGUUCGAUUCCUGCCGGGGGCG
rnacentral:tRNA from 2 species